rnacentral:miRNA from 1 species
UUCCAUAUUUUCCCGCAGCUUUCUUGAACAUCUUCAUGUUUUUGAAAUGAAAAAUUGAUGUAGAAGUUCAAGAAAGCCGUGGAAAAGCAUGAAAG